rnacentral:rRNA from 1 species
GGCCGCGGGAAUUCGAUUCAGGCCUAACACAUGCAAGUCGAACGAUGAAGCACCUUCGGGUGUGGAUUAGUGGCGAACGGGUGAGGAACACGUGAGAAAUCUGCCUUCAACUCUGGGAUAACUCCGGGAAACCGGGGCUAAUACCGGAUAUGAGCCUUGAUCGCAUGAUCGAGGCUGGAAAGUUUUUCGGUUGAAGAUGAUCUCGCGGCCUAUCAGCUUGUUGGUGAGGUAAUGGCUCACCAAGGCGACGACGGGUAUCCGGCCUGAGAGGGCGACCGGACACACUGGGACUGAGACACGGCCCAGACUCCUACGGGAGGCAGCAGUGGGGAAUAUUGGGCAAUAAGGGAAAGCCUGACCCAGCGACGCCGCGUGAGGGAUUUAAAGGGUCGGGUUUAAACCUCUUUCAGUAGGGAAGAAGCGAAA